UUCCUAGUUGCGGAUUUGAGCUCAGCAAAGCUGAAACUCUUGAGGUUUGGUGACUGUAAGAUCUCACCCUCACUUCUAGGGGUUGGUCUUACAGACACAGAUGAACCCUUACUCCCAAGACUACCAGUAUCUUUGAACUUCGGACUCGCUCCUAAAAAACCCACCAAAAAAAACAGAGCAAAGUCUAACACUUUCAGGUGAAAACAGAGCAAAUCUGAGAACUUUUGCAUCCACAGAGGGAAUGUAAGCAAGUCCCCGUAGUUUAAGAUGAGACAAAGGCAAGUAAAUGUGUUUUACCUGGGCUCUCAGCUUUGACCUGAGCACUCAAGCAAGCCCCCAUGAUUGAGUUGUGAUUUUGUAGAGAGAAC